CGGUGGAGCCCCCGCCCGCCGGCGGCCAGUACACCUCCCGCCAGGGGCGCCCUCCCCGCAGCCCGCCGGCCCUUUGAUCGCCCACGGCCCGCGGCCCGCAGCCCGCAGCCCGCGCUGUGCUGGGCAGGUGGCGGCAGCGGGGCGCGGCACGCUCAGGCGCACGGGUCCCGGGGCCGCGGCGCGCUCCCCGCCACGCAACACAUCAAGGCCCGGCCGGCCGGCGGGCGCCUUCAUUAGCAGCCUGAAAUUAUAAUAUUAUGUUAAAGAACAAAGCUGCUCCCCGGAAAAAUAUGUGCUGCAUAUCUGACAAAGAUAAAUUGGAUUAUUCAAAAUAUUCUUGAUGAAAUGUUACAUUUUACAACUAAUUAUCAAUCUGUUUUAUCUGCAGACCAGCUGGGCAUUUUUGUGCAUGCAAGACCUGCCUUCGCAAUGAUCUUAAGAUGUCACUGUAGCGUUUACAUCUUUUAUUUCAAGAUUUAAAUAACUAGGAAGUAGCUAAUGUAAUUCACUGCUGAGAAGAAAGGCGAGCUCCUCGGUUCCUUUCCAAAGCGAUCUCCUCCUAAUGAACUUCUCUGGACUAGGGAAGAGGGAAGCCCCUCCCAUCCGCUUCUAUUGGGGCUUGUUAAGCCAUCGCCUUGGGGGCCGGCUGAUCAGCGGUGUGCCAUAGCCAGCAGCCGGCGGCUUCAGCAGGCAGGAGCAAGGACAGCCUGUGGCUACUGCAACCCCACUGCCGGGACGCUUCAUGACGGGAGGAAUAUAAAGGCAAAUCAUGGGCUGCACGAGAGGGAAAAAGCUUCAUGUCCCAACCAAAAGUAUUCCCUUUCUGAGGACUGCUGCCCAAGUGUGAAGUAGGAGACGUGCAGUUCAAGGGCACCCGUGCAAUGCUCAUGCGGAGCCCUUUUCUUAGCCCGGCAUGACAGGACUCCCAGAGGCCAAUGGAGUGGAACUAUUGAAGUCCUGCAGAUGGGAGCCACUCUCUGGCUGUGGUCACCAAGGUACUCACGGCCUCCAGAGGCCACAAAGGAUGGAUAAUUGCAACCCACAGGUCUCCUUCGGAUUUCCUCCAAGCCCGCUGUGGAAUUACUCUGCACUCUUUGCAAUGAUGUUUAGUGAUUCUCAUCGUGGAGCAGCUUGCUGGGACCCUGCCAGCUGAUCUUAACAAGCCCACUUACUGCAGGAUUCCCACUGCUUUCCAGGGCUAGCAAUUCCUUAACCAAAGGCAAGUUUCCCAGGAGAUCCUUGAGAAGGUGCCUCAUUAUUACUAUUUUGAUGUUGAAGCAGUUCAUUGUGCAAGUUACUUACCAGGUGGGCCAGUGUGUUUGGGAAGAACAGAGCGGGCAUUGAGCGGACUGGGGCGGGCUGGGGAUGAGGCUCCACUCCCUCCACCCUUGUCCUUCCCUCUUCUUCUUCUCGCUCACCCUCAGAAGCGCCAGGCCCCUUCCAGGCUGCAGCCCCUCAUGUUGUCUUCACGCAUUGAUAGUGACAGCUGUCUUGUGCUAGUUGGUGACUAGGCAUGAACGCAUGGCAGUCGUUGGCUUGUUUCCUCUCCUGGAUAACUUUUUCUUUCUUUUCAUAUUAGUUAGAGGCUCUCAUGUCUUAAUGAAAGGGGGUCACUCACGUGAGGUUUUGGGUGCACCAGGCGGGUAGGUUCUGAACUUCUGGCCUCGUUCCAUGUCUCAAAGUCUGGAUGACCAUGUGUGCAGGGCCAAGCUGUGCCUGGCCAAAUGGCCCCAAGCAGGAGCGUCGGGCUGUGUGGUAGAGACGGGUGGUGACCCUCCAGCUCUGCUGCUCCAGCGGUAGCUGCAGAGUGUGCAAGGGAGAGUCUCUGGAUUCCAUAGACCAAAGAAGAAAGGACACCCAUGGGUGUAUUCAGAAACAUGAAGCACCCUGUGUGAUGCACCUACACCCAGGCUGAUGGGGACGCCUGCAAGGACAGGCUUGGACACGACAUAGGGGGAGGCAGAUUUGCUUUAGAAAACACACACUAGGAAAGUGGAAUUUGCCAUCAGGCCCUGCCUGAUGGGGUGGUCAGGGUCAGGGGUGGUCAGGCUAAG